CUUGGUCAUUUAGAGGAAGUAAAAGUCGUAACAAGGUUUCCGUAGGUGAACCUGCGGAAGGAUCAUUAAUGUAACCGGACCGGUCCUCUGCCGUCAAACGCAGCGGAUCGGAAAGGGAGAUAUCAUACACCCUGUGUUUAUUUACCUUUGUUGCUUUGGCGGGCCGCCCUUUAGGCGUCGGCUCCGGCUGAUCGCGCCCGCCAGAGGACCCAAACUCUUUUAUCAGUGAUGUCUGAGUACUAUAUAAUAGUUAAAACUUUCAACAACGGAUCUCUUGGUUCUGGCAUCGAUGAAGAACGCAGCGAAAUGCGAUAAGUAAUGUGAAUUGCAGAAUUCAGUGAAUCAUCGAAUCUUUGAACGCACAUUGCGCCCGCUGGUAUUCCGGCGGGCAUGCCUGUUCGAGCGUCAUUAUGACCAAUCAAGCUCUGCUUGGCUUUGGGGCCCGCUGUACCGGCGGCCCUUAAAAUCAGUGGCGGUGCCGUCUGGCUCUAAGCGUAGUAAUACUUUUCGCUAUAGGGUUUAGUCGUUCACCCGCCAGAACCCCCCAACUUUCUUAGGUUGACCUCGGAUCAGGUAGGGAUACCCGCUGAACUUAAGCAUAUCAAUAAGCGGAGGA
rnacentral:sRNA from 1 species